UAAGGUGAACGUGCGGAGGGAU
rnacentral:rRNA from 1 species